rnacentral:lncRNA from 1 species
CUACCGUGCCUGGCUAACUUUUUGUAUUUUAGUAGAGACGCUGUUGUAGAGUGGCUCCGGAUGGAGAGAGGAAGUACGGUAAAACAAGUACAUCUUGUUGCAGUAAAAAGUAACCUGAAAUAGAUGAUUAUCUGUCUAGACCAAAGAAUAAAACAUUUUAGCUUUGCACCUCAAAGUGUCUUGGUGGUCUCCUAGGAAAUUUGGUACUUCUUAAUAGAGUUACUUUACCUUAAAAAGAAAAUUUAAAAUCUUAAGUCAGUUAUCAAUAUUGCAUCUUCAACAUUUUUGUUUCACACUCUCAGUCUUUUAUUCUGUGUGUGUGCUUGAUCAUAACUCAGGUUUUCCUCUGGAUCUCUUACGCUGUGAAAGCCUUCUUGGUUUGGACCCUGCAACUUGCAGCAGAGUUUUAAACAAAAAUUACACGCUGCUUGUUUCCAUGGCUCCCCUCACCAAUGAAAUCCGGCCUGUCAGCAGCUGCACCCCUCAGGUAAAGACCUACUUGGAAGAUCCACUUGGUAGUGUCAUGAGUCCCAUCAGUUUUGUUUUCUUCUCUAUGUGCAGAUACCAACUAUUAAAAUCACUGAAUCAUAGAAAGCAAUUUUGUAUUUUAUGCCUUUGUAAGAUGAUAUGUUCAAUUUGUGGAGUGUAAUUGGUAUAUUUUAUAUAAGUAUCACCUAGUGACUUGUGACACAUUAGAUUAAAAUUUAUUCAUGUACAGAAUAUUUUAAAGAGAAUGUUUUAGGAUGCUCCAGAAAGGAAGCUGGCAUCAUUUUGAGGGAUAAGAUAAAUUUAAUUAGGAAAAGAUAAAUGUCUUUGAAGUGGGGCUGUGAUUCUGAAUAAGCCGAAAAGAAAAGAUGGUGCUUGAAAGCUAGAACUCUGGUUAACUGUAUAAUUUAUAUGUGAAAAUUCCUUCUGGACUUUUACUUAAAAAAUAUAUAUAUAUAUCAGUUGUAUUCAUUUGUAUACUUAACAAGGAAGUUGUGGCCUGUGCCAUUUUCAGAGUGGGGAUUAUGUUGCUGUUCUUCAGUGCUGCAUCUUACCUGGGUUCCUAGACAAUGCAGGGUUUAAUGAUGUAGCAGAAAGGAAGGGAUUCUUGUACGCAGGUAAUUUAUUUGCAUCUAACUAACCUUUUUAAAAUAAUUCUCUGUGCACACCCCCCAACCUCUCCUAUUCUUUAACACAACCUCCAGACAUGGUAGGAAUCUAUGUGAUUAAUGAUAAUAAUAGCUAAUACUUUAAUAUCGAGCUUAUUAUAUUCCAAGUACUGUUUUAAGCUUUUUGAACAACCUUACAACAUCCUCUUGAGGUAGAUUCUUUAUUGCUAUUUUAUAGAUUGAGCAAAAUGAGGCACAGAGAGCUUAAGUAACCUUCCUGAGGUGAUAUGGCUGGAAGGGUAAAACCAAGAUUCCAAACUAGGCAGUCUUCUCCAGAGUGCAUUCUCUUAAUUGCAGUGACAAGACAUAAUUUCUUAAUUCCAGUAUAAAAUUGAAACUAUUUUAAUGAAACAUUUAAAGUUAUUUUCUUGAGGAUAGUUGCGGUUAACAUUUUCACUGGACAAGGACCACCAUCCCUUUUAUUGUCCAAAGGUACAAGACUUCGAAAACUGCCAGAUAUAUUUCAGGUAUGUGUGGGAGGUUUGGGUGGUUUUUUUAUGUGUGUGUGAGCAGUAUGCUAGAUAACUUCUUAAUAUUUUCCUUAUUUCUGAAUGCCAUUUUACCUGUUAAUUUCUUUUCAAUAGAGUUAUGAUCGAUUGCUAAUAACAUCUUGGGGUCAUUAGCUUUCUAUAUUGAGUUGCAAUAAAAUGUCAGUCAUUUGAAAUUUAUAAAGUUGAAAUGUAAAAAAUCAGAGAUACGGAUUUUAGUCCUGGCCGUUUGGGCGUGACCAUGAUUUUUUUUAUUUUUAUUUUUAAAUAAUAGCUUUACAGUAGUUUCCCCAUCUGUGGGGAAUAUGUUCCAAGACCCCCAGGGGUUGCCUGAAACCACCAGUAGUACCCAACCCUAUAUAUAGUACGUGUUUUCCUAUAUGUAUAUAUAUAUAAAAAUACCUGGGAUAAAGUUUCAUUUAUAAAUUAGACAUCUCUUACUAGAGAUUAACAACAAUUACUAAUAAGAAAAUAGCAUACUGUAAUACAAGUUAUAUGAAUGUGGUCUCUCUCAAAAUACCUCGUUAUACUAUACUCACCUAUUUUCAGACCUUGGUUGACCACAGAUGAUAACUAAAACCAUGGAAAGCAAAACCUCACGUAAAAGGGGACUAUUGUAUUGAGUAUAUAAUUCACAUACUGUACAAUUCACCAAUUUAAAUUGUGCAGUGAAGUGGGUUUUAGUGUGUUCACAGAUAUAUACAGCCAUCACCAGAAUGCUGUCAUAAACAUUUGUGUACAAGUUUUUCUGUGGACAUAUGUUUUUAUUUCUCUUGGCUAUAUAUGUAUAGGGAUGGAAUUAUGUGGCUUUUUGAUGAUAACCACCUUAGGGGGUGUGGAAUAGUAUCUCAUUAUAGUUUUGAUUUACAUUUUCCCGAAGACUAAUAAUGUUGAGCUUCUUUGCAUGUGCUUAUUGGGCUGUGUGACAUUUUCAUGAUAAACCUUAUACUUUAUUUCGUGGUGAUGUCACUACUCUAGGGAGCGCGGGAGGAAGUGAUAUCACGGGAGGGAAGUGAUAUCACGGGAGGUGGUGAUAUCACUACUCUAGGGAACGUGGGAGGAAGUGAUAUCACGGGAGGUGGUGAUACCACUACUCUAGGGAACACGGGAGGAAGAGCACAUUUAUGGGGCAGAUGAUGUGUUGUGUUUAUAUGGUGCCUGUGGUAAUUGGAAAUAUUCUGAAAUUCAAAUGAGAGGUUAGACAAGAGUGAUUAAGUGUCGGCAUCAGCUGGUAGAUGGUAGUUGAAACCAUGAGAGGAUGAAAUUAGCCAGGGAA